rnacentral:rRNA from 1 species
AUUGAACGCUGACUGCAGGCCUAACACAUGCAAGUCGGGCGAGCGGGGGACUGUCGAGUAAUGUAUGGGGCUCUGCCUGCUGGCGUGGGAUAACGACUGGAAACGGUAGCUAAUACCGAACACCAUCAGAUGAACCAAUAUGGGCUUAGCUAGUAGGUGAGGUAACGGAUCACCUAGGCGACGCACCCUAGCUGGUCUGAGAGGAUGAUCAGCCACACUGUGAGUGAUACACGGCCCAGACUCCUACGGGAGGCAGCAGUGGGGAAUAUUGCACAAUGGGCGCAAGCCUGAUGCAGCCAUGCCGCGUGUAUGAAGAAGGCCUUCGGGUUGUGAAGUACCUUCAGUCGGGAUGCGUUACCGACAGAAGAAGCACCGGCUAACUCCGUGCCAGCAGCCGCGGUAAUAC